rnacentral:rRNA from 1 species
GUUAGGAAUAUUCGUCAAUGGGGGAAACCCUGAACGAGCAAUGCCGCGUGAGUGAUGAAGGUCUUAUUGAUCGUAAAACUCUGUUGUAGAGGAAGAACCCUUAUCAUAGGUAAUGAUGAUAAGCUGACGGUACUCUGCCAGAAAGCCCCGGCUAACUACGUGCCAGCAGCCGCGGUAAUACGUAGGGGGCGAGCGUUAUCCGGAUUUAUUGGGCGUAAAGCGUGUGUAGGCGGUUUAUUAAGUUUAAGAUUAAAGCCCGGAGCUUAACUCCGGUUCGUCUUAAAAACUGGUAGACUUGAGUGUAGUAGAGGCAAGUGGAAUUUCUAGUGUAGCGGUUAAAUGCGUAGAUAUUAGAAGGAACACCAGUGGCGAAGGCGGCUUGCUGGGCUAUUACUGACGCUGAGACACGAAAGCGUGGGGAGCAAAUAGGAUUAGAAACCCUAGUAGUCC